rnacentral:tRNA from 1 species
GGGGAUGUAGCUCAGUGGUAGAACGUUUCCGCUUUGCAUGCGGAAGGACCGGUGUUCGAUCCCCCGCAUCUCCA